UGCUCACUGGGCUUUGUAGCUCACCCCUCUCCCCUAACCCCAGGUGUGCAGGUACAGGGUAGACCAGGAGGUUAGCCAGAGUUUUGAAGUAUGUUUAUGUAAUAGUUAGAUUGUGGACAUGACAAUUAUACUAUGAUGUAAUGUAAGAGAUUUCAGUAUGUUAUGUAAUGAGGUAUAUUGAGGUUAUAGAUGUGCUUGACCCUAUGAGUAUUGUUAUCCC
rnacentral:lncRNA from 1 species